AUGGCUGUGGUGGCUCUGUUAUAAAUGCAGGGGAGGGGAAGGCUCCUGCUUACAAGUGUCACCCCCUGGGUCUGUGCCCCUCCCAGGCUGUGCUUGCCCGCCACGGCCUGAGCUGGAGUGAGCCAGCCCUGGUGCCGCGUUUACGCUGCAGGGUGCAGAGCUGCAUCACAACUCCCAGUCGCCUUCCCGCGGGUGUAUUCUCCCAUGGGGCCUGCAUGAGUCUGGGGCUCCCCCCCUUCGGGUGCCUGGGGUGGACCAUCCCUGGGGUGGCUGCUGGAGGCCAGGGCUCACCCCACAUGGGACCUUGAGGGUGACGUACUGCCCUGGGCGAUGUUAUUUUGGGGUAUGUUUAUGAUCCACCUGCUAAGUGUGUGGACAGAAACCAGGUGUCAUAGAUUUGUCCUCCUGCCCCUUUUUGCUAUGAAGUAUUCUAUAGCAAAUGGCUCAGUCCAAGCACUGUAGUGCACUAGUAUUUCUAAUACCGUGUUUGCAGAAACCCGCUCUGUUGCACAUCCACUCUGGUGCUGCUGGAGGAGCAGGGGAGCUGAACCGGAGUGCCCCCUUGGCUUCCAAGUGGAGCUACCCAAACCACAGGCGUCCCAGGGGCAGGAAAUGUAGCUGGUCUUGUUGUGAAUGAGAGUGAAUCCAAACUUCUGGGAUCGCACAGGACUCAACUGAACAACAACGUGGUGGAUCAUGAUGGCAUCCCAGAGGCCCUAAGCUGUAGAGAUCGGAGUUGGCUGUUGAUACAGGUGUCACGGCCGCGCCAUGGCCCAGGCGGAGAAGAAGGGCGGGCUGCUCUGGAAAUCGUCAGCCUCCAAGAAACCCUUGAAAGAGAAAGUGGUGCUAAUGUACGACGAGAUCUUCCUGGUAAGGACGGGGCCCCUUCCUCUGCACGGCGUGGC